rnacentral:lncRNA from 1 species
UCUAUUUUCAUAUUUUUUCGCAAAUUUACCCAUUUCGGUAAUAAGAAAGACAAAUUUGCGUACAAAACCCCUCGUUUCCUUAAAUACCCUAAAACCACUAACGAGAUCACCCUGAAGGCAGGCAAUAUCCCUUAAUAAAUGUUGUGUAGUGCUUAAGAUCUAAAGCCGCACCCCUUUCCUUCUCUUCACGUCUUUCGACAUCUCUAUCGCAUCCUCCAUCUCCCCC